rnacentral:lncRNA from 7 species
AAUUUCCUCAGUGUUAGAUGCUGUAGGAGGCUGUAUGGACCUCUGCUCUGCCUCAUCAUGGCUGUUCAGACAUUAAAUCUCUGUCCAGAGAAACCUUCCGGCUGGGAAUCAAUGACUACAGGGAUCCAACCAGAGUAAGCUCCAAUCUGCCCAGAAGAGAUUAAGCAGGAAAAUACGCAGCUUACCAUUACCUCAGGCAAAUGCUGUGGUUGCUUUUCUGCUUUACCUUCUUCCAAACAGUCAUAAACCUAGAAGCCUCUGCAGCGUGGUUGAAAAAUGGGAGAUGUACAGAAAAACCUUCAGAAGAAUCCUUCAGGUUGCUCCUACGGUGAAGUUCGGGAGUACUCAGCACAGGAAAGGAACCAUCUGCUGAUGGAGAAAUCAGCGCUGUUCAAUCUGAGCUCUUGGUCUGAACACUAUAAAAGUAGUUUUGGAUAUGCCGUGAUCCCACAGAUUGCACAACACGUCUCCCAGUAGCUUUAGGAUCCCAGCAGUCACACCCAUUCCUCCAGAGCUGAGGCAAGUACCUGGUUCCAUUCCCUACUCUAAAUCUGUGGAAAAGAGAUUUGUCAGGAAUUCUGUCUCCCACGAACCCAUAUCAGAACAAGAGAGCAGGUCUACCUGUCGAAGCAAACGGACAACAGCUUCUAGGAAGAGAUGUAGGUUUCUUUAACUCUGAUGGUAAAUUAAAGGAAGUUGUGCAUUUGAGGGCUGCCUUUGGCUCCUUGGGAACGGAAGGUGCAGUAGGAAGCGUCAGAUCCUCCAAACACAUCAGCCUGCUCUCCUACUCCUGAGCGCGCCUUGCCAAAGGGUGAGAGAACAGCUUUGUGAAGUGAAAACUGGACUUUGAAAGACAGCUCCAGCUCUAGGCCUCUAGGUUUGAUAACUUAAGCAGAGGAGGCGUCAUGCAUGGGUUCAUACACAGAGAAAGUCACCAUACAGUCCUCAGUCCUCCUGCCUGCUUCAAAGUGUUUGCAUGCUAAGGCACCCACUUACUGGAGGCAAACAUCAGUGGAGGGCUAAUCCAGACUAAUCCUUGGCCAUGUGCAUGAUGACAUCUAUCAGCAGGUGCACUGAUGUGGCUAGCAGGAAUGGGAACAUAAAGCUAUAAGCACGCAGUUUCCUUUGUGACCAAGUUGCUGCUUUCAUAAAAUAGCUGCUUCUACAACAUAAGGAUGCUAAAGCACUCAACUGAUGAUAAUCUCAGCACUUCAUUCACCGUAAACAAACAGGUUUGGGUAGCAAGUACAAGGCUUACAGAGAAUAACUGGUAGCUGAGAUUUUGCUACUCACCGAGCGCACCUGUAGGAGUAAUGCAGACCUAGAGCAGCGAUGCAGAAAGCUCUUUUGUUGAAAAGAGAUGAAAUUUUAAUAUAACAAAGAGAAAGCGGAACCCGCAGUCCAUUGUGUGUGAUUGCUGUAACAAUUUGGUUUACCUUUUCCAUCUUAAAUGUAGCUCUUCUUUGCUUCCCGAGGUACAAGUGAGAUGCUGGAAUUGUCUGUAUUGCUCUGUGGCUCUCCAGGGACACAUUAGAAAAGCCUUUGGUAAUCAGCUCCACUGAAAAGCAAAUGGAAGCAUCUUGGAGUCACCGUUAUAUUAUAAAGGAGCCACAGUUUAGCAAGACUGGAAUUACUUUAUUAAACAGAAAAACAUGGUUUAUCU